GGUGAACGCUGGCGGCGUGCUUAAGACAUGCAAGUCGAACGGCAGUCUUCGGACUGUAGUGGCGCACGGGUGAGUAACGCGUAACUGACCUACCCCAAAGUCGCGGAUAACGAUUCGAAAGAAUCGCUAAUACGUGAUGUUCUGUCAGAUUGUGCUCUGCCAGUAAAGAUUGAUUGCUUUGGGCUGGGGUUGCGUUCCAUCAGCUAGUUGGUGGGGUAAAGGCCCACCAAGGCGACGACGGAUAGCCGGCCUGAGAGGGUGGCCGGCCACAGGGGAGAUGCGAUACGGGACCCACUACUACGGGAGGCAGAGAUUAGGAAUCUUCCACAAUGGGCGAAAGCCUGAUGGAGCGACGCCGCGGGAGGUAUGAAGGGCUUCGGAUCGUAAACCUCUGAAUCAGGGACGAAAGACACUUCGGUGGGAUGACGGUACCUGAGUAAUAGCACCGGCUAACUCCGUGCCAGCCGCCGCCGUAACAC
rnacentral:rRNA from 1 species